rnacentral:rRNA from 1 species
CGCCUCUUGACAAACAAUAAGAGGUCCUGCCUGCCCAGUGACUAAUUCAACGGCCGCGGUAUCCUAACCGUGCAAAGGUAGCAUAAUCACUUGUCCCUUAAAUAGGGGCCCGUAUCAACGGCAUCACGAGGGUUAUACUGUCUCCCGCCUCCAAUCAGUGAAACUGAUCUCCCCGUGAAAAAGCGGGGAUAAGACUAUAAGACGAGAAGACCCCAUGGAGCUUUAAACCCAACAGCAACCCAGCAAAUCCCCCUUUAAGCUAAAACCCUGCUAGCGGCUUUAGGUUGGGGCGACCGCGGAGUAAAAAUCAACCUCCACAACGAAAAGACCAAGUCUUUACCCAAGAGCUACUACUCCAAGAAUUAGUAAACUAACGGACAAUGACCCGAUAUCGAUCAAUGAACCAAGUUACCCUGGGGAUAACAGCGCAAUCUACUUCAAGAGCCCAUAUCGACAAGUAGGCUUACGACCUCGAUGUUGGAUCAGGGUAUCCUAGUGGUGCAGCCGCUACUAAAGGUUCGUUUGUUCAACGAUUA